rnacentral:rRNA from 1 species
CUAGCCGUAAACGAUGGGUACUAGGUGUGGGAGGUAUCGACCCCUUCCGUGCCGGAGUUAACGCAAUAAGUACCCCGCCUGGGGACUACGAUCGCAAGAUUGAAACUCAAAGGAAUUGACGGGGGCCCGCACAAGCGGUGGAGUAUGUGGUUUAAUUCGACGCAACGCGAAGAACCUUACCAAGGCUUGACAUUGAGUGAAAGAUCUAGAGAUAGAUUCCUCUCUUCGGAGACACGAAAACAGGUGG